CAAGUAGAACGGACGAUCGCGGGCAUAAACCGCAAGGUUGUGUCUGAGGAAAGUCCGGGCUCCAUAGGGCAGGGUGCUGGGUAAUACCCAGUGGGGGUGACCCUAAGGAAAGUGCCAUAGAAAUUAUACCGCCGAUUUUUAUCGGUAAGGGUGGAAUGGUGCGGUAAGAGCGCACCAGCAGCUAGGUGACUAGCUGGCUAGGUAAACCCCACCUGGAGCAAGACCUAAUAGGAGGAAGAUGAGGUUGCCCGCUUAUUCCUCGGGUUGGUCGCUGGAGAAUUCAGGCAACUGAAUUCCUAGAUAGAUGAUCGUCAUCCUUUUAAAGGAUACAGAACUCGGCUUAUAGUUCUACUUGUGUC
rnacentral:RNase_P_RNA from 1 species